GGAUUAUUUCAUAGCUACCUUUCUCAGAAGCCAAAUGCCAUCUCCCAACCAAAAUCUUAGAUGAGUUACUUUGUUUUAAGAGUAACAGAUCACUAGGAGGGUCCUCCCAGGGCCUCAUUCCGGAAGGAGAACCAGUGUCUUGGCUUAGGUGUCUCCCAACUUUAUGUGCUAGUAAUUUCAUCCAGGAGAACCUGUGCUUU
rnacentral:lncRNA from 1 species